rnacentral:rRNA from 1 species
UACGAAGGGAGCUAGCGUUGUUCGGAAUCACUGGGCGUAAAGCGCACGUAGGCGGAUUUGUUAGUGAGGGGUGAAAUCCCGGGGCUCAACCUCGGAACUGCCUUUCAUACUGCAAGUCUCGAGUCCGAUAGAGGUGGGUGGAAUUCCUAGUGUAGAGGUGAAAUUCGUAGAUAUUAGGAAGAACACCAGUGGCGAAGGCGGCCCACUGGAUCGGUACUGACGCUGAGGUGCGAAAGCGUGGGGAGCAAACAGG